UACGUAGGGGGCUAGCGUUGUCCGGAAUCAUUGGGCGUAAAGAGCGUGUAGGCGGCCCGGUAAGUCCGCUGUAAAAGUCAAAGGCUCAACCUUUGAAUGUCAGUGGAUACUGCCGGGCUAGAGUCCGGAAGAGGCGAGUGGAACUCCUGGUGUAGCGGUGGAAUGCGCAGAUAUCAGGAAGAACACCGGUGGCGAAGGCGGCCUGCUGGGCAGUUUUGCUGACACUGAGGCGCGACAGCGUGGGGAGCAAACAGG
rnacentral:rRNA from 1 species